rnacentral:rRNA from 1 species
AUUGAACGCUGGCGGCACGCCUUACACAUGCAAGUCGAACGGCAGCACGGGAGCAAUCCUGGUGGCGAGUGGCGAACGGGUGAGUAAAGUAUCGGAACGUGCCCAGUCGUGGGGGAUAACGCAGCGAAAGCUGUGCUAAUACCGCAUACGAUCUGUGGAUGAAAGCGGGGGAUCGCAAGACCUCGCGCGAUUGGAGCGGCCGAUAUCAGAUUAGGUAGUUGGUGGGGUAAAGGCCCACCAAGCCGACGAUCUGUAGCUGGUCUGAGAGGACGACCAGCCACACUGGGACUGAGACACGGCCCAGACUCCUACGGGAGGCAGCAGUGGGGAAUUUUGGACAAUGGGCGCAAGCCUGAUCCAGCAAUGCCGCGUGCAGGAUGAAGGCCUUCGGGUUGUAAACUGCUUUUGUACGGAACGAAAAGGUCACCACUAAUACUGGGGGCCCAUGACGGUACCGUAAGAAUAAGCACCGGCUAACUACGUGCCAGCAGCCGCCGUAA